AACGAACGCUGGCGGCGUGCCUAACACAUGCAAGUCGAGCGGGAAAGCCCGCAAGGGUGAGUACAGCGGCGCACGGGUGCGUAACACGUGGGUAAUCUGCCCAGAAGCCCGGAAUAACCUCCCGAAAGGGAAGCUAAUACCGGAUAAGACCACGGGAACCUCGGUUCCUGCGGGAAAAGGUGGCCUCUGCAUGCAAGCUAUCACUUCUGGAUGAGCCCGCGGCCCAUCAGCUCGUUGGCGGGGUAAUGGCCCACCAAGGCUACGACGGGUAGCUGGUCUGAGAGGACGAUCAGCCACACUGGAACUGAGACACGGUCCAGACUCCUACGGGAGGCAGCAGUGGGGAAUCUUGCGCAAUGGGCGAAAGCCUGACGCAGCAACGCCGCGUGUGUGAUGAAGGCCUUCGGGUCGUAAAGCUCUGUCGGGAGGGAAGAACCCUUCCGGGGUUAACAGCCCCGGGAGCUGACGGUACCUCCAAAGGAAGCACCGGCUAACUACGUGCCAGCAGCCGCAGUAAUAC
rnacentral:rRNA from 1 species